GGGCCUAUGGUUCAGUGGCAGAACGCGGCAUUCGCAUUGCCGAGACAGGGGUUCGAUUCUCCUUAGGUCCACAA
rnacentral:tRNA from 1 species